GUUAUGAACUCUUUGUCAUGUCUUACUGCAGAAGGUUGCAGAACCAAGCAAGGCUUGAGAUUUCAACAACAACUGCUAAGAAGUUGCUGUCCGGGUUGUGAUUUUUAUCUUUUGUGAAGAGAAGCCAGUUUUGGGCAAUUUUAUUAGUGUUGUUUGCAUAGCACUUAGGUAUGGUUUAGGACUAAUUACAGCUUUUAGAAUUCUAUUGUUAUGCAUUAUUGUCUCUUGGUAAUAAGUUGUAACAUUUUGUGGAAUUCAACCCCGGCUGCUGAUAAAUUAGUUUGCCGAGAUUGGUUUUUAAUGUUCAACAACUUUCUCA